rnacentral:rRNA from 1 species
GACGAACCGUCCGAACGUUAUUCGGUAUCACUGGGCUUAAAGCGUGCGUAGGCGGCCUGGUAGGUGAGAUGUGAAAGCCCACGGCUCAACCGUGGAAUUGCGUUUCAAACCACCAGGCUGGAGGAUGGCAGGGGUGAUGGGAACUGAUGGUGGAGCGGUGAAAUGCGUUGAUAUCAUCAGGAACACCGGUGGCGAAGGCGCAUCACUGGGCCAUUUCUGACGCUGAGGCACGAAAGCUAGGGUAGCGAACGGGAUUAGAUACCCGU